GUGUGUGUGUGUGUGUGUGUGUGUGUGUGUGUGUGUGUGUGUGUGUGUGAGAGAGAGAGAAUGUGUGCACGCAGAUAUAAGAAGUUGGGGUUGAUGAUCCACAUGAUGGUGAUGGACCAGGACAGCUCUGGACCUCCUGACUGGCAGCUCCAUCCUCAACCUCUCUUCCUGCCCUUCACACAUGUGCAGGCAGCCAGUUUUCUGAAAGAUGGUUGAUGUCAGUACCAACAUGUUGUGAUGGAGGCUUCCACCUGAGCUGAACACAGAAACUUGCACACAGUGUUGGAAGCAGUCGUUCCUGUUCAGCAUCGAUAUGCCAGUAAUGGGUUUGAUGAGCCACAGCAUGGUGAUGGGCAAUCAGCAUCAGGACCAGGGCAGCUCACAAGGAGAACCUCCUGCCCUGCCUCGUCAUCCUCAACCUCCCAUCUCCCUGCUCUUCACACAUGUGCAGGCACGGAGCCAGUUUUCAGAGGGAGGGCUGAUGACACCAGCAACUUUGGUGAACCUGAUCAACCCAGCACCAACCACUGUGCCCCUCCUCCUCUGCCAACUGCACCACAUGGCUCCACCAUCUCAAAAAGGCACAGACACUACUCCUACUACUUCCUGCGAAGGAUGAGAGAAGAGCCGACCGCCCCACAUCGGCACUCACCACCUUCUACAGGGGUGUCAUUGAGAGCAUCCUGACCAGCAGCCUCUCUGUCUGGCAGCCGUCAAGCUGAAGACUAGAAGGCAGUACAGAGAGUGUGGUGAGAACGGCAGAAAAGCUCAUAAGAUCACCCCUACCAGCCAUUCAGGAUCUGUACACUUCACACUGUUCCAAGAGGGCAAUGAACAUCAUAAAGACACAACUCAUCCAGCAUACAGACUGUUCUCCCUACUACCAUCAGGGAAGCACUAGCCCAGCAUGCGGUGCCGCACAAGCACACUGGGAAACGGCUUCUUUCCACAAGCCAUCAGACUCCUCAACGCACUGAAGAAAACCACAUGAAUAUUCCAAGGACACUGGAGAAUAUUCCAUGAACACUUCUUUCACCAUGCCACUUACACUUUACUCAUUGCACCUUAUAUACAGCAUCUUCACAU